UAAAGCCCAAUGAACACCACCGCACCGACUUCCAAGAUUAUUGAAUUUAAGAGUCUUUAUACCAGCCCUCAAAAAAAAAAAAAAGAAUCUUUAUACCAAGGAUUUUGUUUUGAUCGUUGUCUGACAGCGAGCUUCAGCUGGUUUGGUUUAGUUAGCCGUCUUCAAAUUUUCUUUCUGUCUGAACGAAAUAUUUGAGCGUUAGAGUCGAAAGAUGGGUGGCGAACCCGAUAAGGAACGGUUCUUGAAGGAGUUUGGUCGAGAUUAUGGAUAUCCGAAUGCACCCCACAACAUUGAUGACAUCAGAGCAAAUGAUUUUAAGCGAUUGAAUGUGUUGGUUGGGCUGUGCAGAUGUAGUGUACUUGGAUCAUGCUGGAGCAACUCUAUAUUCCGAGUCGCAAAUGCAGGGUAUUUUUAAGGACCUGAGUUCUACUCUAUAUGGAAAUCCCCAUAGCCAGAGUAAUUGCAGUUUGACGACCAGCGACAUUGUGGGGGAGGUUCGUCAGCAGAUCCUUAGUUUCUUUAAUGCUUCCCCUACCGAGUACAAUUGCAUAUUCACCUCUGGGGCGACAUCUUCAUUGAAACUUGUUGGUGAGACAUUUCCAUGGAGCAGUAGGAGUAAUUAUAUGUACACAAUGGAGAAUCACAACAGCGUUCUUGGGAUCAGAGAGUAUGCCCUUAGAGAAGGAGCUGCAGCCAUUGCAGUAGACAUUGAAGAUAUUGCUGAUUUUCAUACAACGAGUGGUAGGAAAUCUGUCAUUAAGAUUGUACCACACACUGUACAAAGAAGAGGUGAAGCUGACUGUAGGAAAAUACAUGAAACCAGUGAGACGUACAAUUUAUUUGCAUUUCCAUCGGAGUGCAACUUCUCAGGUCUUAGAUUCAACCUUGACCUGGUUAAUUCCAUAAAGGAAGGUUCUUAUCAAAUGCCUGGAACUUCUCCAACUCAGAGUGGUCACUGGAUGGUCCUGAUUGAUGCUGCAAAAGGAAGUUCAACAUGCCCCCCUGAUUUGUCAAAAUACAAGGCAGACUUUGUUGUCGUCUCAUUUUAUAAGCUAUUUGGCUACCCAACUGGAAUUGGAGCUCUUAUUGCUCGAAACGAGUCAAUGAAGUUAUUGAAGAAGACCUAUUUCAGCGGAGGCACAGUGGCUGCAUCUGUCGCAGAUAUAGACUUCUACCAAAGAAGAGAUGGUGUUGAGGAAUACUUUGAGGAUGGCACCGUAUCUUUUCUGAGCAUCGCAUCUCUUCAUCAUGGAUUCGAAGUUCUUAACACAUUAACCAUGCCUGCUAUUUCCAGGCACACAAGCUCGCUUGCCUCAUAUGCUAGGAAUGCUCUGUUGAAGCUGAGGCAUGAGAAUGGAAAUUGUGUUUGCACACUAUAUGGCAUUAAUGAACCUGAGUCAUUGUUCGAUUCAAUGGGUCCGAUAGUUUCAUUUAACCUGAAAAGGCCCGACGGAUCUUGGUUUGGCUAUCGAGAGGUGGAAAAAUUGGCUUCUUUGUCCAAUAUCCAGUUAAGGACAGGGUGCUUUUGCAAUCCUGGUGCAUGUGCAAAACAUCUUGGUUUGUCUCAUUCAGAUCUUCUUUCUAACAUUGAGGCAGGACAUGUUUGCUGGGAUGAUCAUGACAUAUUGAAUGGCAAACCAACUGGAGCAGUUAGGGUGUCAUUUGGUUACAUGUCAACAUUUGAAGAUGCCAUGAAACUUUUGAAGUUCAUCAAGAGUUCAUUUGUUCCCCAACUGACACAUAAUAUAUUUGGAGAAGAACCAUCUUCUGCAACUGAAGGGGUUGAAAGGACUUCAAGAUACUUUCUCAAAUCAAUCACUAUUUAUCCCAUCAAAUCUUGUGCUGGUUUCAGUGUGGAGAGCUGGCCUUUAUGUAAUACUGGAUUGCUGCAUGAUAGGGAAUGGCUUCUCAAGAGCUUCAAUGGAGAAAUUUUGACCCAGAAGAAGGUUCCUGAAAUGGGUUUAAUUACCACAUCUGUCGAUCUCAAAUUGGGAGUCCUUAUUGUUGAAUCUCCCCGUUGCAAAGAAAAAAUGCAGAUAGAGCUUACUUCGGCUCAAUCUAUAGGUAAAAGAGAAGUGAUGGAAAUACAUUCUCAAAGAUAUGAAGUUGGAGGCUACUGGAAUGAAAUCGACAUUUGGUUUAGCAAUGCAGUUGGUCGGCCUUGUACCCUUGUCAGAAGCUAUGCUGUCCAAAAUCAGAUGUGGUCAAAUAGGGAGCAGUGCAUAGUAGGGAUGUGCAGAGAUGUGGAGACUAAAUUGAAUUUUGUCAAUGAAGCUCAGUUUUUACUAUUACUGGAAGAUAGCGUAUCAGAUCUGAACAACAGAUUGAGAUCAAAGUUGCAUAAUGGCUCACAUAACCAGCCUGCUGAAGUUGAUCCAAUGAGGUUCCGUCCAAAUUUUGUCGUCUCUGGUGGAAAACCCUAUGCAGAAGAUGGAUGGAGAAGUCUGAAGAUUGGAGAGAGAAACUUUAAGUCCUUGGGUGGUUGCAACCGGUGCCAGAUGAUCAAUAUGACUUCUGCAGACGGGACAGUGCAGAGGUCCAAUGAACCGUUAGCCACUUUAGCAUCUUAUAGAAGAUUAAAGGGGAAGAUAUAUUUUGGAAUAUUGUUAAGAUUGUGCGAUUUUAUCGAUCAAGAUACGUGGAUUUCUGUGGGACAAGAAACAAUUCCAAACACAGAUUAACUUUGCAAGUGAUAAGGAGUGCACACUUUCUGGGUGAUCUGAGGUUUUCGUAUAAAUUACUGUAGAUAUAGAUUAACAAACUAUCUUACAGCUGGCUGAAAGCAGGGGAACUACUCCAGUAUCACAACUGCUGUCUGCAAAUGGAGUUAGCUUGACCCGUGGAAAAUCGAAGGAAGUCAAACACAUAUGGUCUGAUGACUGGAAAUGGGGGCUGCAAUUCAAUAAAAAUAAUACACGCGCAGAGAUUCAUUGUAUUUGUAUCUCAACUUGACCUUCCAAAAUAAAACUACUAGUAUUUUAUAUGCCUCGGCAUUCGCUACUUCUGUAUUUCUAACUUCUAACUGCUAUGAAUUAAAUAUUCUACAGUAUGAUUGAGUUAUGAUAGACGCAUAGUGGAGCAUUAUAUCUUACAAUAUGUUACAUCACACAUAAUUAAAGGGAUGAAAUCUUCUUUAAUCCUAUAUUACAUGAUUAUUUACAGAA